AGAGUUUGAUCCUGGCUCAGGAUAAACGCUGGCGGCGCACAUAAGACAUGCAAGUCGAACGAACUUAACCAUUAGUUUACUAGUGGAGCGGUUAGUGGCGGACUGGUGAGUAACACGUAAGCAACCUGCCUAUCAGAGGGGAACAACAGUUAGAAAUGACUGCUAAUACCGCAUAUGCCUUGAGUAUCACAUGGUACAAAAGGGAAAGGAGCAAUCCACUGAUAGAUGGGCUUGCGUCUGAUUAGAUAGUUGGUGAGGUAACGGCCCACCAAGUCGACGAUCAGUAGCCGGACUGAGAGGUUGAACGGCCACAUUGGGACUGAGAUACGGCCCAGACUCCUACGGGAGGCAGCAGUCGGGAAUAUUGCGCAAUGGAGGAAACUCUGACGCAGUGACGCCGCGUGCAGGAAGAAGGUUUUCGGAUUGUAAACUGCUUUAGACAGGGAAGAAACAAGACAGUACCUGUAGAAUAAGCUCCGGCUAACUACGUGCCAGCAGCCGCGGUAAUACGUAGGGAGCAAGCGUUGUCCGGAUUUACUGGGUGUAAAGGGUGCGUAGGCGGCUUUGCAAGUCAGAUGUGAAAUCUAUGGGCUCAACCCAUAAACUGCAUUUGAAACUGUAGAGCUUGAGUGAAGUAGAGGCAGGCGGAAUUCCCCGUGUAGCGGUGAAAUGCGUAGAGAUGGGGAGGAACACCAGUGGCGAAGGCGGCCUGCUGGGCUUUAACUGACGCUGAGGCACGAAAGCGUGGGUAGCAAACAGGAUUAGAUACCCUGGUAGUCCACGCUGUAAACGAUGAUUACUAGGUGUGGGGGGUCUGACCCCUUCCGUGCCGGAGUUAACACAAUAAGUAAUCCACCUGGGGAGUACGGCCGCAAGGUUGAAACUCAAAGGAAUUGACGGGGGCCCGCACAAGCAGUGGAGUAUGUGGUUUAAUUCGAAGCAACGCGAAGAACCUUACCAGGUCUUGACAUCCAACUAACGAAGUAGAGAUACAUUAGGUGCCCUUCGGGGAAAGUUGAGACAGGUGGUGCAUGGUUGUCGUCAGCUCGUGUCGUGAGAUGUUGGGUUAAGUCC
rnacentral:rRNA from 1 species